rnacentral:lncRNA from 1 species
AAAAAUUAAAGCACUAUCCUUCUUCAUCUCUCCAACCAUUAUGUUUCAAAGAUAUUGUUUCCAUCACAUCAAACUAUACUGUAUAACAAAGAAAGGCAUGAAUCAAGGUCUGCUCCGGCGAAAGAAAAGCAAUAGUCAGUAGUGGUUGAGAUGGAAGAGCUUGAAGUAGUGGUAGUCGGUGCCGUUGAUUGAGGAUUCUGAUCCUAAUGGAGGAGGAAAAGGAUAACAAAGCGGGUCGAGUCGGGUCUUUUGAGUCACCUGUUCCGUUUGUCACCUCCAAAUCCCUCACGUUUUCACCUUUUCACAGAUCUCUUUACACUUUUGUUCAUUGGGAAGGCAUUAUAUAUGAGCCCAUUUGGCAUGGGUCCAACCUAAGGAACCAGAGAUCUCCGAGAGAGCCCUAAACACCAACUCAAACUCUCAUUUUAGACGUGGUUAAACCUUGGCCACCAACAUAUCUUGUCGUCGGUUCCGUUUGCCAAAUCAGAUACUGUUUCCAAUUUCUUUUCUGAAAUGCUAUUGGGUUUCCUCAGUUUGAGAUUUAAAUCAUCUCACCAAAUGUUUAUUAUAUUUGCUUAUGUAUAAAUUAUAUUAUAUACGAGUAUAAGUAAAUAUGUCUAUAUGAUUUCAAGGAAGAGAGUUACAUCUUUCAUAUGAUUGUUGCCUUUCGAUUUCUAAUUUUA